rnacentral:rRNA from 1 species
AGUGAACGCUGGCGGUAGGCCUAACACAUGCAAGUCGAACGGCAGCACAGUAAGAGCUUGCUCUUACGGGUGGCGAGUGGCGGACGGGUGAGGAAUACAUCGGAAUCUACUUUUUCGUGGGGGAUAACGUAGGGAAACUUACGCUAAUACCGCAUACGACCUACGGGUGAAAGCAGGGGAUCUUCGGACCUUGCGCGAUUGAAUGAGCCGAUGUCGGAUUAGCUAGUUGGCGGGGUAAAGGCCCACCAAGGCGACGAUCCGUAGCUGGUCUGAGAGGAUGAUCAGCCACACUGGAACUGAGACACGGUCCCGACUCCUACGGGAGGCAGCAGUGGGGAAUAUUGGACAAUGGGCGCAAGCCUGAUCCAGCCAUACCGCGUGGGUGAAGAAGGCCUUCGGGUUGUAAAGCCCUUUUGUUGGGAAAGAAAAGCAGCAGGUUAAUACCGCGCUGUUCUGACGGUACCCAAAGAAUAAGCACCGGCUAACUUCGUG